rnacentral:rRNA from 1 species
GACGAACGCUGGCGGCGUGCUUAACACAUGCAAGUCGAGCGGAGCGGCGAACGGGUGAGUACCGCGUGAGUAACCUGCCCCCCUCUCUGGGAUAACAGUUGGAAACGGCUGCUAAUACCGGAUAGUGCAAGAUGAGCUCGCGGCCUAUCAGCUUGUUGGUGGGGUAAUGGCCUACCAAGGCGUCGACGGGUAGCCGGCCUGAGAGGGUGUACGGCCACAUUGGGACUGAGAUACGGCCCAGACUCCUACGGGAGGCAGCAGUGGGGAAUAUUGCACAAUGGGCGGAAGCCUGAUGCAGCGACGCCGCGUGGGGGAUGAAGGCCUUCGGGUUGUAAACUCCUUUCGACAGGGACGCGGUACCUGUAUAAGAAGCACCGGCUAACUACGUGCCAGCCGCCGCGGUAAUAC